ACGGGUGAGUAACGCGUAAGGAACUUGCCUCUUGGACUGGGACAACUGUUGGAAACGACAGCUAAUACCGGAUAUUAUGAGAUUCUCGCAUGAGAAACUUAUGAAAGCUAUAUGCGCCAAGAGAGAGCCUUGCGUUCCAUUAGCUAGUUGGUGGGGUAACGGCCCACCAAGGCGACGAUGGAUAGCCGGCCUGAGAGGGUGAACGGCCACAAGGGGACUGAGACACGGCCCUUACUCCUACGGGAGGCAGCAGUGGGGAAUAUUGGACAAUGGGCCACAAGCCUGAUCCAGCAAUUCUGUGUGCACGAUGAAGGUCUUCGGAUUGUAAAGUGCUUUCAGUUGGGAAGAAGAAAGUGACGGUACCAACAGAAGAAGCGACGGCUAAAUACGUGCCAGCAGCCGCGGUAAUACGUAUGUCGCAAGCGUUAUCCGGAUUUAUUGGGCGUAAAGCGCGUCUAGGCGGAAAAAUAAGUCUGAUGUUAAAAUGCGGGGCUCAACUCCGUAUUGCGUUGGAAACUGUUUUUCUAGAGUACUGGAGAGGUGGGCGGAACUACAAGUGUAGAGGUGAAAUUCGUAGAUAUUUGUAGGAAUGCCGAUGGAGAAGUCAGCUCACUGGACAGAUACUGACGCUGAAGCGCGAAAGCGUGGGGAGCAAACAGGAUUAGAUACCCUGGUAGUCCACGCCGUAAACGAUGAUCACUAGUGUUGGGGGUCGAACCUCAGCGCCCAAGCUAACGCGAUAAGUGAUCCGCCUGGGGAGUACGCACGCAAGUGUGAACUCAAAGGAAUUUGACGGGGACCCGCACAAGCGGUGG
rnacentral:rRNA from 1 species